rnacentral:rRNA from 1 species
CACGGGGGGAGCAAGCGUUGUUCGGAUUUACUGGGCGUAAAGGGCGCGUAGGCGGUCGUGACAAGUCACUUGUGAAAUCUCCGGGCUUAACUCGGAACGGUCAAGUGAUACUGUCGGACUAGAGUGCAGAAGGGGCAACUGGAAUUCUCGGUGUAGCGGUGAAAUGCGUAGAUAUCGAGAGGAACACCUGCGGCGAAGGCGGGUUGCUGGGCUGACACUGACGCUGAGGCGCGAAAGCCAGGGGAGUGAACGGG